rnacentral:ncRNA from 2 species
AGAAUGGCCCUAAACUAGAUGAGUAAUCUUUCCCUUGUUUUUAGAGAGCUAGUGGUCGGUGAGAGCUAGCAGCAAGCAAGAUGAAAUGGGCUAGUGGAUCUUUUGAGAGGAAACCAUAACUUUCAGGUCUGGCACCCCUUAUCGUGCAAUUUCUUGAGUUGAGAAGAUGAGAUAGUAUUGAUUAGAGAUACUAAUUGAGGUGGUACCGCGUAUUUAUUGUAAUGACGCCCUCACG